ACUCCCUUGCUGCUGUUUAAGCCCAUUGCUUCUUGUUCUAUCCUUAGAGGCUAAGGUGAACAAGUUUUCUCCCUCCUCCUUAUGACACCCUUUUAGAUACCUUUUACCUUAAUUGCCUCCGCUCCCCAUCCGUACAAUGGGGAUAUACUACCCCCUCACCGCACAGGGGGGUCUUACAUUAAUUAAUGUUUGUGAAGCACUUAGAUACUAAAGUGAUGAGUGCCAUAAAAAAGCCCAUGAGGAAAUUAAUAAUUCUGUUUUCAGAGCAGGAUUUGAAUAGUGUGCCAUAUAUAAGGCCUCAAGCUACACAAUGUACAAUGAGGAUAAAAAAAAUAUCGAAAAGCUGCUUAUUAAUUGAUCAUUGUCUAUCCUGUGCACUGAAUGAGGCAGAUGUCAUAUGGAAAAACUAAUAUGUGACUAUGUAAUUAAAACCUGUAUCAUAAUCUGUAUCAUAGUGCAUAUAUCAAAAAGAGUUCAGGAGAAUUAGCAGGUUUUUUAGAGAGACAUUAUUAAGGGCACAAAAGCAACCUAUCUCAGUGCAUAGGAAAGAUAAGAAGUAUGGUAAGAGAUCACCCUAACUUAACCAGGAGAUCUUCAAGGAUCUGGAACUCAAAAAAGAAUCAUACCAAAGGUGGAAAUGAAGUCAAAUUACGAAGGAUGAAUAUAAAAAAAACAACACAAGCAUGUAAUGACAAAAUUAAAAAGGCCAAGGCACAAAAUGAGAUUAAACUAGCUGGAUACCUAAAGCCUAACAAACAUGAGAGGCAAGAGGAAAACCAAGGACAAGAAAAAGUUAGCAGUGAUUGGACAACUAACAGUGAACGUCAGUGUAAAUGAGGGAGAAGCAUUAGUUUUGGAGUGGAGUUGCAAUAUAUAUUCCUGAAACUGCAAUUCACCGCUGGAUGCAGAACAGGGGAGGGCAAGAAGGGCAAUGUUUGCUGGAGUUUCUCAUUGCUUUCCACUGCAAAAAUGUUAUUUCUAACAACAAAGCUACAUGCCUGAUACUUGUUACUUUAAUCUGUUCUUAGAAACAACCCUUUUUCUUUUUAAAGUUUACUUUUUACUGACUUUUUCAAAUGACACGGUUUUGGUCACUAUAGCUUUUCAUCCUUGUAGCUGUUCUGAAGGUCCAAAAAGAACAAUUGCAGCAGAAAUGCAAUGUAAGGAAACAAAAGAAACACUAGUGAAUCUGUAGAAACUGAAACUUCCCCUGCUGGACCCUGUCGUUCACGCUCAGAUGAUGUAGAUCCCAAGUGACUUUGUAUGUGUGCCACUGUAUCACAGUUUUGAACAGCUCUAUUGUCUCAUAUUUUGGGUUCAGCAAAUUCAAUAUGAUUCAGUCCCUAGGUGUUUUGGCAUGGCUCAAGUGAUUAUAAAAACACGGGAAACUUGAAAUUUUCAACACAGGGAACUUUAUAUUUUGUAUUUUACAAUAGCCUCAGUAAUAGGGAUGGUGCCAAACUGAAGAAAUUUACUGUAGAGGGAAGUCAUCUCAAUAUGGAACCAAACUGUGAUCUAUACUAGGAACCUGAAACAAACUUGGUGAGGCUGAGAUUUAGUGCCCUACAACUUUCACGGUACAGUAGCUUGAAUGCAGACAGAAAAAGAAUUAAAAAUGUAUUUCCACUAGGAAAGUAUAUUCAUAUUUUUAAUAGGAAUUACCUGGUCCACUGUGUAAAAUGAUAUUUAGGACUGUAGAAAAAUAUUUGCAGUAUCAAGUGAUCAUAAGGCAGAAUGGAAGGCCCUAGGUGGAGCUAAUGUGGAGUUCAACGUGGCUCAGGAGUUUGCCAAUUCUGUUUUAAAAAAUAAAAUUAUUUGUCCACUGUCAUAUGGUAUUGCUGAGAUGCAUAUUUGUUGAAGCAGAAGUUGUUAGGCUCAGAAUAAUUUAAUUGAGAGUGGUGAAGGUGUGUAAUAUGACAGCCCAACUCCCCAGUUCUCAUGGCUAAAACCGCACCUACAUUACAGCAAAGAUAAUACAUCGAACAGGAUGUCUUGGUCAAAAUAUCAGGUCCUCUGGCUUUCCAAAGAUUACUAUAAGGUCAUAUUAAAUCUGUGCAAAUUAUAUGUAAAAUUCAAACAAAUUCCAUGAGGAAUUGUUUGAGGGGCAAUAAAAGCAAAUAAAAAUGAACAGCAACCUAUGUGCUGUGUAUUGCAACAGGGAGCAGAGUGGAAAUCUUCAUUUCGUGCCAAUGGCUCUGGAAGUCUCUCUGAGCUAGAUUUAAUGUAUAAGCUGUGUGUCACAUUGGAACUACGCUCCAAUACAUUCACCACGGAAGUUAUACAUAAGAAAAUAAGCACGGUAAAUAUCUGAGGAAGCACAAAAUGCAUGUCUUGGUAACAAACUAUAUACGUCGCUUGGGGAAAUAGCACCCUGCAACCUAUCUUGUUCUGGCAACUGAACAAUGUUUCAUAAAAUGCAAUAAGUAAACUUAUGGAUUUGACUGUUCCUCUAAAUACAGAUGGGUCUGAACACUACCAAAUUGGGGUGCCUGAAAAUCCAGCUCCUAACUUUCCCAAAGGUCAGGAUGUUUGGAUUCAAACCAUUAGAGAGAGGAUCUCAACUGCAUCUGGAUGCAGGGCUUUGAUUUGGGUCUAUCACCUCGAUGUAGUUUGUUAGUAUUAUAUUAUAACUGAAGAAGCCUUGUGAACAAUUUCUCUU